rnacentral:pre_miRNA from 1 species
CUUACUGAGAGUUCCUUGGCAUUCUGUCCACCUCCUUGCUGAUCUUGCAGAAAGUCUCUCAAAUCUGUUGUUUUUUUGGAGGUGGGCAUACUGCCAAUGGAGCUGUGUAGG